CGCACCAGCGCGUCAGUGCUGCGGGGCGCGAUGUGCCACCGGGCGAAGGGGGGCUCUUGGGUCGGGACUCCGGCGGGUACGAGCGGACGCGUCGGCGAGAUCCCGCUCGCGGAGAGCCCCGCUGUGCCCCAUCGCCUCCCUUUGAGCCUCCCUUCCACCUUUGCGACCUCACCUCAUCGUAGAUAUCCACUACAGAGCAGGUGCUUGGCCAGCACUUGGCUUGAAUGCUUCCCUUGACGGGGCGCUCACUCUGGACGCAAGCGUCACACGGAACUCUGUUCUUCCAUCUCCUUGAGUGAACACGGGGGAUACGGCAGCUGCUUUUGUGGGAGGACUAAUCUGAGACGUGGCGUGGGGCGGGCCUGGCACGUGGCACAGUGAGCCGUCAUUCCACCCCCAGAAGCCCCAGCACUCCGAAGGAAUCCUGUCGGGUGACACGUCACCCCCUCCAUCGUGUGCCUGCCGUGGACCCCAACCUGAGCUCUGAUAAUUUGGAUGGAAAAGAUGGACUGAGCCAAGAGCACCUUCCCUGGGAGACCUGGAACUGGAGGGCUCCGAGGCUGAGGUCAGCUGGAAGAUACAAAGUUUAUGGUGGCCUCUGCAGAUGACUAGCCAGGGAUUCGCCUGGCUUUUGGGUCCUGGGCCUGUCUGUCCACCCUAUCCUUUCAGAUGGCUCCAGAGCACCAAGAAGGGUGAAGCCUGGGUUCUUGCCCUGGGGAAGCCUGCCAGGCACCCUGUGAUCCUCAGCUCUAACCCACAACCCUGUGUGACAUCUGGGCCCUAAGGUGGCCACAGUAUGGUCUCAGGAAGUCCAUGUGGGCAGUUAACACGCCUGACACCCCCUGCACCCAGAACAAGGAACAAGUCUUCUCCUCUGCUGCUUUAAACGGUACAGCCCAGAGGGGGUGGCUGAGCUGAUAUGCAGCUCCAUAGCACCUUCCUGUACAGUCACAGAGCUGUUUCUCCCAGGUGUUCACCUACAGAUUUCACCAGCAUCCCCAAGGACCAAAAUAAGGUAGAUGCUUCCCCAGGAGGAAGGAGGGCCCUUCUGCCCAUUGUCUCAACAAUGGGAAUGUCCCUAUAGACACAGAGGGCAUUCUCUCCUUUGCUCACAGGUGUGACCUCAGCAUUCAUGUAUGAAUCUGGACUAUAUCUAUACCCUUCCUGGUGCCCAAAGAGGUGGGGGAAUGGGCAUGCCAGGGCUGACCCCUGCUGGCCUGUUCCCUUGCUUGAAGCUGUGGGUAGAGCUGGGUGCAGGGAGUAAGAUCCUGUAGGGAGGGCUUAUGGAGACUGCCAGGUUUGGCUUUAGAAAGUAGAGUAUGAUCCAGGUGUGGAAUGGCCAGUAGACAUCUCCUGGGAGCUUCUGGAAAGACAAGGCACAGAGGAAGGAUACCCCAGAUGAUGAGAGCUGCAUGUGAGGCCAAGAACCGCGUCUCCAUCCGGUGACCAUGAGAGGACACUCCGAGGAAGGCAAAGAGCAGGGAAGCCAUGACCAUGACCCUGGACACCCUCGCCAGUGCAGACAUCUGGGACAGAGGGGACCCUGGGACAGGAGGCUAGACCUACUGCAACAGACUUCUGAUCCAUGUCCCUCCUUCCACCUACACUUGAGGCUCGAGGUGAGGGGCCUGUUCAGUCUGCAUCAGGGCCCAUCCUCCUCUGCCUAAAACCCCCAAUGAAGGAAAGCCAGAGUCCCAGUGACCCGACGACUUGUCCCCAUCUGAAGCCUGCCACAUUCCACUGAGCCCUUGCUCACUGUGUGCCAGCCCCCGAAGUCCUGUCCUCCCUCCCUCCCCCUGCAUCAGCAAGGCUCUCCCUGGAGGUCCUUACAGACACGUCACCUGCCCAGUGACAUAUUUACAGACUUUAACCUCCACUGCGGCACUUCCUGCCCCCUUUUCUCCUUACUGUACUGCAGUCCACACAUUCCUAUUUCCUCAUUAAUCUCUAGGGAGAACUCGGCCUCCAUGAGUACAGGCCCUUUGUCUCUCCUGCUCACUGCUGUGCCCCAAUAAUUGUGAUGUUUGUGCAUGGGGGCACUCGGCACUGAUCUGUUGAAUAAGUGUCUGUGUGUGUCUGUGCAUAUAUGUGCAGAUACAAAUGUAGAUGUAGAUAUCCAGCACGGGCCUCAUAUCCACAAUAUAUGAAGAACUCCAACAAA